CUUGUGGGUUCAUCUUAAGGACUACCCGUGCUUGCACUCGGUUUGCGCGAAUUGCGGCGGCGAAAUUUUGUGUCGCCACAAAUUGAUCACUCGCACUUCGAUUGCCAGUGUUGAUCAGCGUUCGAGUUCGAAUUAGCAUCAAAAACAACAACAGCAACCACAACAGCUUUGAUUGCUUCGACGAUCAUUUUAUGUGUCGCCCGCUGCCACUAUCGCUUAGUUUACAGUCUGGACUGGCGCGCGUUUCGCUUAAAUGAAUUUAAAUUAACCGACACUCUGUGCGAAUUUAUAGAAAAUGGAGGUUGACGAACUUACCAGCUCACUCUAAUACCAAUACUCACCCAAGCACAACCAUGUCACGAUCGGUACAAUAUGACGCCCACUCUAUGACAUUCAUGUCAAAUAAGAAAACAGUUCUCAACCGAAAUUGUCACACCACAACACCAACAAAGACGUAAGGAAGUCACCGCCACCCACCUGCAUUACCAGCACCCCCUACUGUUUUAUUACAUAUUGUAUUCUACAAAUUACUAAUUCCUAAGUAAGGCGAAGUGAAUAAAUGUGUACUGCGUACAAAUUGAAUUAA
rnacentral:lncRNA from 1 species